GACGAACGCUGGCGGCGUGCCUAAUACAUGCAAGUCGAGCGAAGUUUUUCUGGUGCUUGCACUAGAAAAACUUAGCGGCGAACGGGUGAGUAACACGUAAAGAACCUGCCUCAUAGACUGGGACAACUAUUGGAAACGAUAGCUCAUACCGGAUAACAGUAUUUCUCGCAUGGGAGAUAUUUAAAAGUUGGUUAUGCUAACACUAUGCGAUGGCUUUGCGGUGCAUUAGCUAGUUGGCGGGGUAAAGGCCUACCAAGGGGGCGAUGCAUAGACGACCUGAGAGAGGGGUAGCCCGCACGGGGGCUGGGACGCGGCCCAGGCUCCUGCGAGAGGGCGCAGUAGGGAAUGUUACGCAAUGGGGGGAAGCCUGGCGGAACGGCGCCGCGUGAGAGGAGGAGGAUUUCGGUUCGUAAAGAUGUGUUGUUAGGGAAGAAUGGAUAUGUAGUAACUAUACGUGUAAGAGACGGUACCUAGCCAGAAAGCCACGGCUAACUACGUG
rnacentral:rRNA from 1 species